CCUACGGGUGGCUGCAGUGGGGAAUAGUGGACAAUGGGGGCAACCCUGAUCCAGCCAUGCCGCGUGUGUGAAGAAGGCCCUCGGGUUGUAAAGCACUUUCAGUGAGGAAGAACGCCUGGUGGUUAAUACCCAUCAGGAAAGACAUCACUCACAGAAGAAGCACCGGCUAACUCCGUGCCAGCAGCCGCGGUAAUACGGAGGGUGCGAGCGUUAAUCGGAAUUACUUGGCGUAAAGCGCGCGUAGGUGGCUUGAUAAGCCGGUUGUGAAAGCCCCGGGCUCAACCUGGGAACGGCAUCCGGAACUGUCAAGCUAGAGUGCAGGAGAGGAAGGUAGAAUUCCCGGUGUAGCGGUGAAAUGCGUUGAGAUCGGGAGGAAUACCAGUGGCGAAGGCGGCCUUCUGGACUGACACUGACACUGAGGUGCGAAAGCGUGGGUAGCAAACAGGAUUAGAUACCCCUGUAGUC
rnacentral:rRNA from 1 species